UGGUUUCACAUAUUUCGUCAAUAAUUAGCCCGCUAGAUACUGUGUAUUUUGUCAUUUUGUUUCUGCCAAUUAAAACGUAUUUAGGGGACUACAGCACAAUGAGGUAAUAAUAGUCAUGUCAUAUUCAACUAUUCCGAAGUGUCUAUAAUUAUAUCAAUAUCCGCUGACUCGCUACCAUCCACAAAUACACUCGAACCAACUGUCAAUCAUGGGUCUCUUCUGAAGAUAAUUUGUAACUUGUUGAAUCAGUACCAUAUCCUGUUGGAUAUCCCAAGAAAAUCAGCCGAAAUGGAACACACGUGUAGGACGAUGCAAUGAAGGAUGUCAGGAAUGGGCUACGAGCAUUAUGGAGAACAGUAUGGAAACUUGAACGCUUUCUGAAGUGAUUAUACGAAGAGGUUGUGUCUGGUCGUUAAUUAAUAAGCAAUCAAUUCUAAUCGACAUACCACGAGGAUGCUCUCAAGUAUUGAUAUCUCUGGAAACGCCCUUUUAUUCAAUCUAGACGUUAAUUUUGUAAGGACUAGCCCGCUAAAACUACGCCCAAAACAUUAACAAAUGUCUGUGUAUGUCACANGGGUGAUGUAUGCAGACUAUAGUCUGAGGGAUGAAAGUCAAUAGUCAGAUUCUUGGAUAUGGUCUUGAAAUAACAAGCUAUUGAUAACGGAAGUAUCGUUCUUCAGAGCGGAGAAACAUGUUGAAUUUUGACCUGCUCUAUCAAUUGUAAUAAUAAAAUACAGCCAAAGAGUAAUGAGAUUGUAUCGCGAAUCCGAUCUAUACAACCUGCAAGUAUUAUGGAAAACUAUGAUAUGUCCAAAUAUGGUAAAAUNAAAAUUAAAAUAAAUAUUACGCCUUUUAUGUUAUAAUUGAGGGAAAAUGUUAAUUGUAUCAAAACACAUUGGGAAUGAAAUCUCCAGUUGCCUUAUCGUAAAUCCAUGCGACGAUGAUGGCCGUCUGGAACCAUUGUAAGAUUGACAUUGAUUUGAUCUCACGAGUAGGGGUUCGAGUCCCAGUACUUUAAAUUAUUAGAGUGUGACUGAGUUUUGAUCAUUCCAUACAUAGUGCUUUGAAAAUUUUGCNGUUUAUCGUCAAAUGCUGGGCAUUGUUGUAUUCUGAUACUUCAUGUUGCAGACGAUUCCAAUUNCUGAUGUUAUAUCGGCGAUUCGUAUUGUGUUAUCUUAGUUUUAAUCCUGUUUGAUGCGGGACCGUUUGAUUGAUCUGUAGCGUGAGCUCUUUCCUUCUCGUGACAUUAUGCACAUAACGCUAGAACGCUCACUGCAAUUUAUAGAGAAGAAAUCUUGACGUGAAAAAAACCCGCUCAGAUCAACCUGCCUGGACUGGAAGAAAUCAAUUUCUCACAACAAUACACGAGGAGCAAUAUAUUGUGAUGUCCAGUAUCUAAUCUUUUCCCGCAGACAUUUCGACGAUUUCGAAGUUUGAUACAAGUCGGUGUACACGUCAAAUACGAUUUUUCUUUUGUCAGAUAAGUGCGAGUGGUUUCAAUUUCGUCUCGAUGCCAUCUCGUACAACUUUGUUUUGCCGACNUAUUCGCUGUGCUAGUGGUUGUACUUGACCUCGAGUGUCUUGUCAUUUUGAUUCUGAUGUGUUUUAUAUGUUUUUUGUAUUAUUUUAGUAAAUGCAUCAGCGCUGAAUGUAAUUGUCGAUAAAUGUGAUAAUACCUUCUACAAACACGGCAUGGAUUUAGGCGAUAAUAUAUAGUUACCAUGUCAAAUCAUGACAAGUCUAUCGAUGACUAAUGAACUGGCAAAACAUGAUAUCGUCAAGUAAUACACGCAGCUUCUGUCAAAUUUCACACACUUAUUCUGUGGGAGCAUUACUGAUCCCCUCCCAGUAAGGUAUUGGAACGCACUUGCACAAGAAUGCGCGAUCUGUGGAAUGCAUAAUUAGAUAGUUACCCUCGUUCUGUGCGAACUGAACACCCCUCGGUCGCACUCACUGCUAUUCUGCUCAGUUCGCAAAGAUAGUAAAAAGAGCUGUGGAGACUUGGUGUAAAUGAAAUGAAAUUUAACCUUUUCUUAUCUGUACGUCGAAGNAAAUGUGUGCAAACUUAUUUACCCUAGUCAAGAGUUAAUGGUCAUAAUCCUGUAAAAAUAAACACGAUGGCUGAUGUACUUCCAUGCUGUACAGUGGUCUAUAGGUGACAA
rnacentral:lncRNA from 1 species